rnacentral:rRNA from 1 species
AUCUAAGGGCGUACGGUGGAUGCCUAGACUGAAAGAAGCGAUGAAGGACGUGGCGUGUCUGCGAUAAGCUUCGGGGAGGUGACUAGCAACCUUUAAUCCGGAGAUUUCCGAAUGGGGAAACCCAGCCAGCUUCGCUGGUUGUCCUGAGAUUUAUUCGAAGGACGCGUACCCGCUGAAGUGAAACAUCUCAGUAAGCGGAGGAGAAGAGAACAAUGUAUAGUACUCACAUUGCAUUACAUAUAGUUUGCAAUGCGGUGUGAGUACUUGUAAUUCCCUAAGUAGCGGCGAGCGAAAAGGGAGAAGUCCAAACCAUGCACUUCGGUGUGUGGGGUUGUAAGGUAACAGUUUCGUCUUUAUGAUGAGAAGAGUCAAAAAAUAUUUUGUUAAUUGAAUUCGCUGGAAAGCGAAACCCCAGAGCGUUAAAGUCGCGUAAGUGAAAACGAAGUAUCUCUUUUAUUGUUAUUCUUGAGUAGCCCAAGACACGAAUAGCUUGGGUGAAUCUGCCGGGACUAACCGGCAAGGCUAAAUAUUCUUUCAGAUCGAUAGUGAACUAGUACCGUGAGGGAAAGGUGAAAAAUACCCCGGUGAGGGGAGUGAAAUAGAUCUGAAACCGUAUGCCUACAAGGAGUCGGAGCGGCGCUUGCGCCGUGACGGCGUGCCUAUUGAAGAAUGAGCCAACGAGUUCAUAUAUACUGCGUGGCUAACUGCGUAAAAUGCAGGAAGUCGUAGGGAAACCGAGUGUGAAUAGCGCGAAAUUUUGUAGUAUGUAUGAGACCCGAAGCCAGAUGAGCUUGCCAUGGACAGGGUGAACGCCGGCGAAAGCCAGCGGGAGGCCCGAACCGGUUGGUCGUACAAUUCCAUCGGAUGAUCUGUGGUAAGGAGUGAAAAGCUAAUCGAAUCUGGUAAUAGCUGGUUCUCUCCGAAAUAGCUUUAGGGUUAGCGUUCGGUGUACCUUUUGGGGGUAGAGCACUGGAUGGCGUAAAUAGGGAGAAAUCUCGUUAUGCCAAUCAAACUCCGAAUACCAAAAGUAACUGCCGAGCAGUUAGACUGUGGGGGCUAAGCUCCACUGGUCGAAAGGGAAACAGCCCAGAUCUCAAGUUAAGGUCCCUAAAUUUACAUUAAGUGCGCUUAAGGAUGUGAGAUUUCUCUGACAAUGAGGAUGUUGGCUUAGAAGCAGCCACCAUUUAAAGAAAGCGUAACAGCUCACUCAUUCAGAGGUUUUGCGCCGCAGAUUAUCGGGGCUAAAUGUAAUACCGAAACUGAGGGCUUCUUAUUCAUUCGUGAGUAAGGAGCGGUAGGAGAGCAUUCCAUUCUGCAAUGAAGGUUAGACGUAAGUCUAACUGAAGCGUAUGGAAGAGAGAAUGUUGGCACAAGUAACCGCAAUCCCGUUGAGAAUACGGGACGCCGAAAAACCAAGGUUUCCUUGGCGAUGUUAAUCAGCCAAGGGUUAGUCGGGCCUAAGCGGAUGGCGAAAGCCGGACGCGAUGGACACAUGGUUAAUAUUCCAUGACUUUCUUUUUAUGCGAUGGGGGGACGGAGUGUAGUAUGUCGAGCGUAUUAUUUGGAUUUACGUUUGUGGUGUGAGGAUGCUCUUUUGGAAAAUCCGGAGAGUAAAUUUUAGCACAGUAAAAAUUUUGCGGCCUCGGCCAAUGAAAAUUUGACAAAGCACACUUCCAAGAAAAGCCUCUAAGCUUCAGUAAAAAGAAAACCGUACCGCAAACCGACACAGGUGGUUAGGUCGAGAAGACCUAGGCGAACGAGUGAGUGUUCCUCAAGGAACUCGGCAAACAAGCGACCGUAACUUCGGAAUAAGGUCUGCCCCUGCUUUUUGCAGGGGCCGCAGCGAAAGUUUUCCGGGCAACUGUUUAUCAAAAACACAGCUCCCUGCGAACUCGCAAGAGGAUGUAUAGGGGGUGACGCCUGACCAAUGCCAGAAGGUUAAACAUAGAGGGUCUGCGAGACUUCGGUUUUGUAGGCUGAGCUAUGUAAGCCCUGGUGAAUGUCGGCCGUAACUAUAACGGUCCUAAGGUAGCGAAUUUCCUUGUCUGGUAAGUUCAGACGUGCACGAAUGGCGUAAUGACCUGGAAACUGUCUCGAGGAACAGCUCGGUGAAAAUGCAAUACCGGUGAAGACGCCGGUUACCUGCAGCUAGACGGAAAGACCCCGGGAGCUUUACUGUAGCUUCGUAUUGGGUUUGCGAUUUAAUUGCGUAGCAUAGGUGGGAGACUUUGAUAUUUGCCUUUUGGGGCAAGUGGAGUCGUCAGUGAAAUACCACUCUGUUGAAUUUCAGAUUCUAACCACGACGGAAAAAACGGCGUGGAACAGUGCGUGGCAGACAGUUUUAGUGGGGCGCUAUCCUCCUAAAGAGUAACGGAGGAGUUUAUUAAGGUCAGCUAGGCGCGAAUGGAAACCGUGCCGAUAGUGUAAUGGCAUAAGCUGGCUUAACUGCGAGACGUACAUGUCAAGCAGAUGCGAAAGCAGAACAUAGUGAACCGAUGGCCCGCAUUAGAUGUGGCCAGAGAUUAACGGAUAAAAGCUACCCCGGGGAUAACAGGCUGGUUCCGCCUAAGAGUUCAUAUCGACGGCGGAGUUCGGCACCUCGAUGUCGGCUCAACUUAUCCUGGUGCUGGAGAAGGUGCCAAGGGUUUGGCUGUUCGCCAAUUAAAAAGUUACGCGAGCUGGGUUCAGACCGUCGUGAGACAGGUUGGUCCCCUAUCUGCUGCAGGCGUUGAUUCUUGAGAAGAGCUCUCCCUAGUACGAGAGGACUGGGAGGGACUGAUCUCUGGUGUGCCAGCUGUUCCGCCAGGAGCAUUGCUGGGUAGCUAUAUCGGGACUGGAUAACCGCUGAAAGCAUCUAAGCGGGAAGCCAACUUCAAGAUUAGGAAUCGUAGAUCCCUAGGAGAUGACUAGGUUGAUAGGCCUUAGGUGUAAGUACAGUAAUGUAUUUAGCCGAGAGGUACUAAUUCAUCGU